GCCUAACACAUGCAAGUCGAGCGGAAACGAGUUAUCUGAACCUUCGGGGAACGAUAACGGCGUCGAGCGGCGGACGGGUGAGUAAUGCCUAGGAAAUUGCCCUGGUGUGGGGGAUAACCAUUGGAAACGAUGGCUAAUACCGCAUAAUACCUACGGGUCAAAGAGGGGGACCUCCGGGCCUCUCGCGUCAGGAUAUGCCUAGGUGGGAUUAGCUAGUUGGUGAGGUAAUGGCUCACCAAGGCGACGAUCCCUAGCUGGUCUGAGAGGAUGAUCAGCCACACUGGAACUGAGACACGGUCCAGACUCCUACGGGAGGCAGCAGUGGGGAAUAUUGCACAAUGGGCGCAAGCCUGAUGCAGCCAUGCCGCGUGUGUGAAGAAGGCCUUCGGGUUGUAAAGCACUUUCAGUCGUGAGGAAGGUAGUGUAGUUAAUAGCUGCAUUAUUUGACGUUAGCGACAGAAGAAGCACCGGUUAACUCCGUGCCAGCAGCCGCGGUAAUACGGAGGGUGCGAGCGUUAAUCGGAAUUACUGGGCGUAAAGCGCAUGCAGGUGGUUUGUUAAGUCAGAUGUGAAAGCCCGGGGCUCAACCUCGGAAUAGCAUUUGAAACUGGCAGACUAGAGUACUGUAGAGGGGGGUAGAAUUUCAGGUGUAGCGGUGAAAUGCGUAGAGAUCUGAAGGAAUACUGGUGGCGAAGGCGGCCCCCUGGACAGAUACUGACACUC
rnacentral:rRNA from 1 species